rnacentral:rRNA from 1 species
GUGCCAGCCGCCGCGGUAAUACGUAGGGUGCGAGCGUUAAUCGGAAUUACUGGGCGUAAAGUGUGCGCAGGCGGCGUUGCAAGUCGAGUGUGAAAGCCCCGGGCUUAACUUGGGAAUUGCGCUCGAAACUACGAUGCUGGAGUAUGGCAGAGGAAGGUGGAAUUCCACGUGUAGCGGUGAAAUGCGUAGAGAUGUGGAGGAACACCGAUGGCGAAGGCAGCCUUCUGGGCCAAUACUGACGCUCAUGCACGAAAGCGUGGGGAGCAAACAGGAUUAGAAACCCCUGUAGUCC